rnacentral:rRNA from 1 species
UACGGGGGGGCAAGCGUUGUUCGGAAUUACUGGGCGUAAAGGGCUCGUAGGCGGCCAACUAAGUCAGACGUGAAAUCCCUCGGCUUAACCGGGGAACUGCGUCUGAUACUGGAUGGCUGGAGGUUGGGAGAGGGAUGCGGAAUUCCAGGUGUAGCGGUGAAAUGCGCAGAAUAUCAGGAGGAACACCGGUGGCGAAGGCGGGUCUCUGGGCAGUAACUGACGCUGAGGAGCGAAAGCGUGGGGAGCAAACAGG